rnacentral:rRNA from 1 species
CCUACGGGAGGCAGCAGUGAGGAAUAUUGGUCAAUGGGCGCGAGCCUGAACCAGCCAAGCAGCGUGAAGGAUGACUGCCCUACGGGUUGUAAACUUCUUUUAUAAAGGAAUAAAGUGAGGCACGUGUGCCUUUUUGUAUGUACUUUAUGAAUACGGAUCGGCUAACUCCGUGCCAGCAGCCGCGGUAAUACGGAUGAUCCGAGCUUUAUCCGGAUUUAUUGGGUUUAAAGGGAGCGUAGAUGGGUUGUUAAGUCAGUUGUGAAAUUGUGCGGCUCAACUGUACAAUUGCAAUUGAUACUGGCAGUCUUGAGUGCAGUUGAGGUAGGCGGAAUUCGUGGUGUAGCGGUGAAAUGCUUAGAUAUCACGAAGAACUCCGAUUGCGAAGGCAGCUUACUAAACUGCCACUGACGUUGAGGCUCGAAAGUGUGGGUAGCAAACAGGAUUAGAUACCCGAGUAGUC